rnacentral:rRNA from 1 species
GUGGAUUAGAUACCCCGGUAGUCCGCACAGUAAACGAUGAUAACUAGUUGUUUGCGAUAUACAGUAAGCGACCAAGCGAAAGCGAUAAGUUAUCCACCUGGGGAGUACGCCGGCAACGGUGAAACUCAAAGGAAUUGACGGGGGCCCGCACAAGCGGAGGAGCAUGUGGUUUAAUUCGAUGAUACGCGAGGAACCUUACCAGGGCUUGAAAGUUAAGGAAUGAUUAUGAAAGUAGUCAGUCAGCAAUGACCUAAAACUAGGUGCUGCACGGCCGUCGACAGCU